ACACAAUGUUAUAAAUCUGACCAGAUACGCCCACUUUUUUGUUUCAACACCCACACUUUUCUUCAAGGAAGCAGUGAAGUGAAGCACUCAGUGCCUCUCUGGUUCAGUGGUAACAAUUACCACCCACAAUGAAACUGUGUGUCCUGGACAACAGUCACUCACUGCACACCAUCUACUCCCUCGACCACAGUCCACAAGAGGAGACAUUCAUCAACAGCUCCUACGUCAGCAUAGACCACUCCUCCCCCAUCCAGCACACCUUCACCUUCACCAACGCCCACCCUCACACCACAUCCAACAAACCACAAGAGACAGUAUUCAAUGUGAUGAUAUUUACGGCCGACACUAUAUCCCCCCCUCAACCCACACCAAAGCUAGCACAGUGACAGAGAGUAUUAAUAGAGAGACUGUGAGUGAGCCACUGUCUAAUGGAGGGGCAAAGAGAAGAGGAUCGUUUGAAGAUAUCGUCAGCCAUUUUCCACUGAGGGAGACAGCACAGUUAAAUUUGAAUAGACGGCAGAAUCACAAGACAAUUUGCUCAGCAAUGAUGAGGAUGGUUCUGAUUAAAAGCAUUCCAUUAUAUACCAUUGUUAAUACGUGUAUAUUGUGCUACUGUACUUCAUGGGUGUAUUUUCACAAGGGUACGAUAUUCAGCAUUUUGCUGAGCUUGCACUAGCAUUUAGUUACAUUUGUAGAUAGAAGACUCAAGGCUAUUGCUAGUAUCUGUCACUGACUCCUAUCCCCCCCGGCCCCCAUACACACACACACACAGCAUCAGCUGCCAACUCCCAAUCUGAGGAAGAGGCUAUCUUCACUAACAUUCAGCACACCCGACUUGGUGCCCAUGGCAAUGCUGGUCAAAGGUGACAGUCGUACUGACAGACACAGACACUGCUCAGGUCACCACACCCAUCGUAGUCGUGCCCAACGGUGCCACCAUGCACACUGAAGCACAAUCUAGUACUGGAACAAUGUACUGCUUCAACAUGUUGCUUAAUGCUUAUAAUUUUCAUUUUAGUAAGUCUAAACUUUCAAAUUUUUGUACACAUCACAUUUGAAAACGGUUAAUUAAGAUAAUACAACCACAGAUUUGUCACUCAA